UACAGAGGUCCCAAGCGUUGUUCGGAUUCAUUGGGCGUAAAGGGUGCGUAGGUGGUGCCGUAAGUCAGGUGUGAAAUCUCGGGGCUCAACCCCGAAACUGCACUUGAUACUGCGGUGCUCGAGGCCUGGAGAGGAGAUUGGAAUUCAUGGUGUAGCAGUGAAAUGCGUAGAUAUCAUGAGGAAGACCAGUGGCGAAGGCGGAUCUCUGGACAGUUCCUGACACUGAGGCACGAAGGCCAGGGGAGCAAACGGG
rnacentral:rRNA from 1 species